AUUGAACGCUGGCGGCAGGCCUAACACAUGCAAGUCGAGCGGAUGAAGGGAGCUUGCUCCUGGAUUCAGCGGCGGACGGGCGAGUAAUGCCUAGGAAUCUGCCUGGCAGUGGGGGAUAACGUCCGGAAACGGGCGCUAAUACCGCAUACGUCCUGAGGGAGAAAGUGGGGGAUCUUCGGACCUCACGCUAUCAGAUGAGCCUAGGUCGGAUUAGCUAGUUGGUGGGGUAAAGGCCUACCAAGGCGACGAUCCGUAGCUGGUCUGAGAGGAUGAUCAGUCACACUGGAACUGAGACACGGUCCGGACUCCUACGGGAGGCAGCAGUGGGGAAUAUUGGACAAUGGGCGAAAGCCUGAUCCAGCCAUGCCGCGUGUGUGAAGAAGGUCUUCGGAUUGUAAAGCACUUUUAGUUGGGAGGAAGAGCAGUAGGUUAAUACCUUGCUGUUUUGACGGUACCAACAGAAUAAGCACCGGCUAACUUCGUG
rnacentral:rRNA from 1 species